UGCCGACCAGGGAUCAGCGGAUG
rnacentral:siRNA from 1 species